ensembl:antisense Hoxb3os homeobox B3 and homeobox B2, opposite strand
AAUAACAGAAAGUUUAUUCAAGAAUUGUUUUGACAGACAACUCUUUUAACUAAGGGGGAAAAAAAUAACUACGGAAGAACAAAGAAAGUUCCAAGAGAGAAUUAACUUCUUAUCUCUACAAAUUCGGGACUAUACAGUGACAUUUAGGAGCUGAGUUCAUGCCUUUUAGAACUAAUUACAAUUCCUCAUAUGUACGAGUUUAACAUAAAUCUACAGCUCUUGUCUAGAAUACAAUAAAAACUAAAAUAGCUGGUUUUACAUGACAGGAAACACAACAACCUUUAUAACAAGUAAAUACUAAAAAAGUACAUUUUUCUUUUUUUUUUUUGUCCCUCAUAUAAAUACAUAAUGUAGGGGGAUAAAUAAUACAAAAAAGAAAAUAUUUUAACAGGCUAUAACCAAUAAAUAUAUAUGAAAAUGUUCACUAGAACACACGCUUUUUGAGCGAAGCUGGACUUUCUGCAGGCCCAGACAUCUCUCACAGUUGUUUUUUUUUUUUUUUUAAUAUCCAUUAAAAUGUAAACUCCAAGUGCAACAAGACUGUCCUGUCAGGAACUGGAGCAAGGUCCACAGGUCCAGCUGCAGCACCUGCCAGGACAGACAGUUUGUUCAAAUAUACCCUGUUUUCACGUUAAGUCAAGAGAAGAACAGAAGUAAAAAGAAAGUGGAGGGAGUGGGAUGGGGUGGGAGCUGAGAGACUGGAGAAUGGGCAAGCCUCCAGUCCUGACAACUUGCCUGCCUUAGCCUCUUAACUUUUCUUUAAAAGAAAAAAAAUAUAUAUUUAUUUAUAUUAUAGGCAGCUCUGACUUUCAGGAUAUCUUACCAUCCCUGAGCCCUCUGAAAAUUGUAAUCAAUAGGGGUGGGGUGUAGAUAUGAAUGUCCUUAGAGCAGAAAACCAACCGUAGGGCCAUAGUAAAUGAUAGAUAUAGUAAGAAGCCUAACAGAUGGGGGAUGGGGGGAGUUGAAGCUUCAGGGAAGUAGGAGAGAAACAUACUUUGUGCCCUUCGAUUUAAAUGUAUUUUCUUAUUUUUCACAGGGAGACUGAAAGGGAGAACAAAAAAAAUCAAGAUUUUGGGGAAAUUACCCACAGAGAUGCAAGUGCUGGAACCCUGGGAACCCUGGGAUUGAUGUGGUCCCGUCUCCAACCUGCUGUGGAUUCCUUUCCAAGGGUUGUUGGCAGACAGAUGGAACCAGGCAUGGAGGACUUAAAAGACAGCCCCUGGGGGCGGGGAGGGGGCCUGGGAGCUGGGAAGGCACCCCAGGCCUGUUCUGUUUCUGGAAACCUGGCGACAACCCCAUCCCACACCUCUUUCAGGACUCUAAACCGCGCCCAUCCCCCAAGUCCGCCGUCUCCCUGGCCCUUAACCUCACCCCUCCCUCCCCAGCCCGCCCCUCCCAUCACAGGUGUGUCAGUUUGGGCGCUUCUUGGAUUCUACCCUGAGGCGGUGCGUGGUGAGAGGAGAGGUCUGUGUACGUGGGGUGAGGGUCACAGGGUCCAUGAUGCUGGUUGGGGCCCAUAGGGGCCGCCCCGUUGUAGUCCAGGUUCCCCGAGGGGUGGUGGGAAAGGUGAUUGAGGCCGUAGAGGGAGGGGCCGGCAGGGGGCGGCAGCGGAUCCGCGUAGCCACCCCCGCCCACAUACACCGGACUGCCCUGCAUGGUGGGCGUCCCGUAGGCGCCCCCGUUAGCUUGGAGGACGUGGGGCUCAUACUCCGACGCCGGGGUCGGGGGGUACUUCUGUGGGGCGCCGCAACCCUUAAGAGGGGGCUGGUAGUUGGAAGGCAGCGCGUAGGCAUUCUGGUGGCCUUUGCCGAAGGCUGGUGGGGACGGGCUGUCGUAGCUGGGGGUCAUGGAGUGUAAGGCGUUCAUGAAGCCGGCCGUGGACUGCAUGGGCUGCGGGGGGCUUCCGGCCGGAGAGGGACCCCCAGAGGACGAGGCCAGCCCCUUGGCCUUCUGGUCUUUCUUGUACUUCAUGCGACGGUUCUGGAACCAGAUCUUGAUCUGGCGCUCGCUGAGGUUCAGCAGAUUGGCCAUCUCGACCCGGCGCGGCCGGCACAAAUAACGGUUGAAGUGGAACUCCUUCUCCAGCUCCACCAGCUGCGCGCUUGUGUACGCCGUGCGCGCCCGCUUGGACGCGGCCGACCCCGGGGGACUCUUGUCCCCUCCCCCGCCGCCGCCGCCGCCCCCGCCGCUGCUGCCGCCGCCACCGCCGCCGCCGCCGCCACCACCGCCGCCGCCACCACCACAACCUUCUGCUGGACCCGAGGGGGGAGGGGUGGGAAGGGGAGAAAAUGAAAUAAAAGAUAAUUACUGAACACGC